rnacentral:misc_RNA from 1 species
UCCGGUUUGGCACCGGCAGUCUUCCUAGAGUCCCCGCCAUUACCCGUUAGUAACUAUGAACAAGGGUUGCGCUCGUUGCGGGACUUAACCCAACAUCUCACGACACGAGCUGACGACAGCCAUGCAGCACCUGUGUUCCGGUUCCCUUUCAGGCACCCCCGCCUCUCAGCGGGCUUCCGGACAUGUCAAGGGUAGGUAAGGUUGUUCGCGUUGCAUCGAAUUAAUCCACAUCAUCCACCGCUUGUGCGGGUCCCCGUCAAUUCCUUUGAGUUUUAAUCUUGCGACCGUACUCCCCAGGCGGAGUGCUUAAUGCGUUAGCUGCGUCACCGACAUGCAUGCAUGCCGACAACUAGCACUCAUCGUUUACGGCGUGGACUAC